UACGGAGGAUCCGAGCGUUAUCCGGAUUUAUUGGGUUUAAAGGGUGCGCAGGCGGGAGAUUAAGUCGGCGGUGAAAUUUUGCAGCUCAACUGUAAAAGUGCCUUCGAUACUGGUUUCCUUGAGUGUGGAUGAAGUAGGCGGAAUUUGUGGUGUAGCGGUGAAAUGCUUAGAUAUCACGAGGAACUCCGAUUGCGCAGGCAGCUUACUAAACCAUAACUGACGCUCAGGCACGAAGGCGUGGGGAUCAAACAGGAUUAGAUACCCCUGUA
rnacentral:rRNA from 1 species